AUUGAACGCUGGCGGCAGGCCUAACACAUGCAAGUCGAACGAGUGGCGGACGGGUGAGUAAUGUCUGGGAAACUGCCCGAUGGGGGGGGAUAACUACUGGAAACGGUAGCUAAUACCGCAUACCAUCUGAUGUGCCCAGAUGGGGUUAGCGCGUAGUGGGGGUAACGGCUCACCUAGGCGACGAUCCCUAGCUGGUCUGAGAGGAUGACCAGCCACACGGGAACUGAGACACGGGCCAGACUCCUACGGGAGGCAGCAGUGGGGAAUAUUGCACAAUGGGCGCAAGCCUGAUGCAGCCAUGCCGCGUGUAUGAAGAAGGCCUUCGGGUUGUAAAGUACUUUCAGCGAGGAGGCGUUACUCGCAGAAGAAGCACCGGCUAACUCCGUGCCAGCAGCCGCGGUAAUUC
rnacentral:rRNA from 1 species